UUCGUUUUACCAGCCAGGUGGCAACACUAGAUACACACUGUAUCUCUGGCUCCUAUUGGUUUUGGCGUUGAUUUGCUUUAGUGAUCUCCCUUUACAUGAGUUAUUCAGAAAAAAUGGCUAAUCAUGUUGUUUGUGGUGGCUCACCCCUAGGGCUGCUUUAAAGAAGACAAUUUGUGUAAAAAAAUAAGAAUGUACCAGUGCGUUAUACUCAUUUAGAUAUAGAAGAAUUGUGCUUAAAAAAGUAGUCUGAUCUGAUCAUGAUUAGAAAAUGUGUACAUCUUUACAGGCUGUUUGGAUACUAAGUACAGUUUUAAGGAAGUAUGGCGAUUAUGAAAACUUUCAAGCUGUGACAGGAGGAAAUCUUCUGAGCAAGUGUCAGAUUUGGGCAUGCUGCAAAAAAUACAUGCAGAAGGAAGGUUGCAGUGGAGAGGCACCCAUUACUUGUGUGGCGUAAAUGAUGCACGUCAGCCGUGGCACGGUUCAGAAGGUCGAAAGAGGUUUUCACUGAGGCCAGCUAAUCCCACUGAAGAGGGCUUGGCAAAUCUGCACAGUGUGCUAUUCCGGAAUAAUCCAUACCUGUGGCGUGCUGCACUUCUCUACUUUGCUGUAAGCCGUGCGGCUAACUCCAGCUUCUGUGAGCUUUUCCAAGACUUGCAGCAAUUUGUGCAGGACCCCACUGUUCGAUGGGAGUACUGUGUACGAGUUAAACAUGGACAGCAAGACACUGGACAAACAGGCAAGAAACCACUGAGUAUUGAAAUGGCUUUGAUACCCAGAUUCCCAUAUUAUAAUCCACUUGCUAAAACAUCCAGAUAUUCUUUCCUCUAAAGUCAACGGCCUCAUAUAUCAAAUCAUCAAAUUCAAGUGUUUUAGCACUAAUCAACGUAAAUGUGGUCUCUGUAGGGCUCAGUGCACAGAGGACUUAUGUCCAGAGCUUGUACUUAGCAACUUGUGCUAAUUCUGUCCAGGACUUGGCCACAUACCAUCCCCAGCCUGCCUUCCAAGAAUACAGAGCUGGGCAAGGUGCUACGUGCAAAAGAAAUAGCGGUUUGCAAUUAUUUCAGUGUAUACCAAACAGGUUGAUGGCUGGUUCACACAGAAUAUUUGGAUAACCUGUUUAUACAUUGUCUGCCCUUUACCAUCCAUUCCUGAUUGGCUAAAAUAGUGACUGGAUUAUGUGCAGUAAUGCCACGCAUGUACAUCGUCAGAUUCGGAUGGUCAGAUCAACACAUAACUGCCAAUUUUCUAUAUACAAUGCUAUUUAAUUUUGUUUGCUAAAUAAAUAUUUGGGAGCACUCCACCAACAGGACUACAUUUUAUAUAAUUAACACUUUCUACUCUAAAUUGCAUUAAGAGAAUCCCCUUGUGGCAAAACAAAGGGGAAGGGUUUGAAUAAUAGUAAUCUAAUUAGCUACUGCUCAAGGCCCAAAUAUGGAGUAGCUUUAAUUCCCCCAUUAAGCUCAAGGAAUAAGAGCAACCAUAGAUAUUCUGUGAUUAAAUCAAUACACAAAAAGUAUUUUUAUCACAAGUAUUAUUAACCAAACUCAUGUCAAACAAGGGGUUAUUAUGCUCCUUUAAAUAAUGGUGUACAGGCUAAAAGAACAGUAGUCAAGAAAUAGACAAAUAAUUACUAAAACCUGUUUCUCCCCAGGCUGCUUCAGUAAAGACCAGGUCUAUUUUGAUGGAAAACUAUGCCUUCUGCAUCACCGGCAUACCAUUGAUUUUCGACUGUUAACUUGGAAAGGUAUCCAAUGAAGAUGCAGAGGAGCUAAAGAAGUUUGCUGAGCUAGAUAAUACUCAUAUUCCUCACUUCCUGCAGGAUCUGGAGAAAUACCAUCAUCCGCUUCAGCACAUUAUGGAAACAAACCAGCUUACUGACGAGGAGCUGCAAGCGUUACUCCCUAACUGACCGGGGUAGAAUGCUGUCUAAAUGCUAGAUGUGUUGUGGCUGCAGGAUUGAAGAAGUUUUUUACUUAUACAGUCUUUACUGAGAAAGUAAUAGGUGUUUCUGUAACAAUGAAGUAGACACAUUGAUGCACUUUUUUUUAUAGUAAAUGGGAGUAAAAUGGGGCACAUUGUACUGUGAAAAAGUUUUUUUAAAUCUUGUACUGAAUAGGAGUAGGAGGAAUAUUUUCUCUGAUAAUUGACCCAUCUGAUGAGCACAAUUUCACAUUGUUAAAGUGUAAAUUAAAGAUGCUCAUGAUUUUAUUUCAGAGGGAUUAUGAACAGGAUGAUUAAGUGUAAAGGACAACUAAAGACCCAAUUAUACAUGCUCUUAUCAUAAUGUUUUUAGGGCAUCAGCUUCUGCCCCCCUUCCCACUGCUAGCAGCCUCCUGUGCCUUGAUAAUUACCUCAUUUGAUCCUUAGGAAUGGUCCUCCUUUUUUCAAGUUUUCCAGACAGUUGCAGUUGCAGUUACGUAUGUGCUGCCCAUGCAUGAUCCUGUGUCACCAGAAUUAAAAUAUUAACUGCACAAGAGGCUUUAACUUGACCUAGGGCUACUGGCAAUGGGGAGUGGUAAUAACACUAUUAAAAUGAGGUGAUAAUCAGGCCUUCAGUUUCCUUUAAAUUACUUAACUUAAUAAUGCAUGUUUUUUUUAAGAAUAGCACAGCAAGUGUUAAAACAUCCUAUACAUUAUAGGUAAUGUUUAUUUCUUAUGUGUAUUUCUGGGGUGUGUUUAUUAUUUAAUAAAAUGUAAAAAGAAUUCCACUUUUGUACACUGUGUUAUGCUUGUUUAUUAUUUUGUGAAUGCAGAAUUAGAAGAGGCUCAUGUCUUACCGGCAUUCAUUCCUACAAGCUGAAGUACAGGCUGUUACAUUGUCAGUAGAGCAACCUGUUUGAUAGCAAAGAAGUAUUGCCUCCAAUGAACAAAAUCCUUCAUGGUGCUGGGAGACACAUUGAAGGGUUGAACCUGAUGGACCGUAUUCUUUGCAUUUUUUUUUUAAAUUAACUUUUUAACAUGCCUUCUAAUUUGAUUACGACAGCAGAAAUACUCAUUAUCGGGACUUGAUAGUAAUAUGCUAACGUUUAAAUUAUUAUUCUUUUCAUUCCCUAUCUGGCAUAACUUUGAAUUUAUAGGAGUUACAUCUACAGUUGUAUUCAGCAUAAUAGCAGUCUGAUAUCACUAACCUGAUCAAUCACUGUUUUUGAUAGACAUUAUAUUUUUACAUGGCAAUAAAUUUACUAGUAGAGUAGAGUAAUUGAAAACCAAAAGACCCAACAGUUAUGACAUGCAUCCUGCUGAUUCUGUGUAAUUGAGUCAUUAAUUGAGGCUUGUUCCAAAUAAUAGCAGUGUGGAGUUCAAUUAGUGAGGUCAUUCAUUUUGUGAAAAAACAGAUGUCAAUUACGACCCUCAUUUAAGGCAGCAAAUGUUGUGCAUGCUGGUUAUAGCGCAUUUCUCUCUCUGAGCAAAAUGGGUCAUUCCAGACAUUGUUCAGAAGAACAGCGUACUUUAAUUAAAAUGUUGAUUGGAUAGGGGGAAAACAUUAAGAUAUUCAGAAAAUGAUAGGUUGCUCAGCUAAAUUGAACUCAAAUGCUUUAAAAUGGCAACCAAAACGUGAAAGACAGACGAAAACGGGAAAACUAUCCUUCGAAUGCAUAGAAUAGCCAAAAUGGCCUGAUCAGCUCCAGGAAGAUCAAAGUUGGUCUAAAGUUACCUGUGAGUAAUGUUACAAUUAGAAGACACCUAUGUGAAGCCAAGCUAUCGACAAGGAGCCUCCACAAAGUCCUAUUGUUGGAAAAAAAGACGUGCUGAAGAGGUUAGAAUUUGACAAUGAACACAUUGAAUGGCCUAAAGAGAAACGGCGCAACAUUUUGUGGACUGAUGAAAGCAAGAUUGCUCCUUUUGGGUCUAGGGGCUGCAGACAGUUUGUAAA